AGCGAACGCUGGCGGCAGGCCUAAUACAUGCAAGUCGAACGAACCUUUCGGGGUUAGUGGCGGACGGGUGAGUAACACGUGGGAACGUGCCUUUAGGUUCGGAAUAACUCAGGGAAACUUGUGCUAAUACCGAAUGUGCCCUUCGGGGGAAAGAUUUAUCGCCUUUAGAGCGGCCCGCGUCUGAUUAGCUAGUUGGUUGAGGUAAUGGCUCACCAAGGCGACGAUCAGUAGCUGGUCUGAGAGGAUGAUCAGCCACAUUGGGACUGAGACACGGCCCAGACUCCUACGGGAGGCAGCAGUGGGGAAUCUUGCGCAAUGGGCGAAAGCCUGACGCAGCCAUGCCGCGUGAAUGAUGAAGGUCUUAGGAUUGUAAAAUUCUUUCACCGGGGACGAUAAUGACGGUACCCGGAGAAGAAGCCCCGGCUAACUUCGUG
rnacentral:rRNA from 1 species